UAUUCGUUUUCGGCACAGGGUAGAGUCAGUGCUUCUCUCAAGAGAAUAAGGCGAUCAUCCACCACGCGAAGAGAUGCUGAUGAUCUUUAUGAAGAUUUUUGGAUUUUAAUCUUAAAAAAUAUUUGUGACCACGUGCAAUGUGGUUAGUAGAAUCAGUGUUUGCUUCGUUAUAGUAUUUUGAAUAUUUUUUUAGAGCACAACAGCUCUUAAAUUAAAUUUUAAUUAGAAUGAUCAAACGCGAAGAUAGAAUCAGUGUUUGUUCGCCGAUUAUAAUUUAUACGGACGCGUUGUUAACUUCUUAUUUUUAUUUUUUUAUUUUAAAUAUUCGUUUUCGGCACAGGGUAGAGUCAGUGCUUCUCUCAAGAGAAUAAGGCGAUCAUCCAUCACGCGAAGAGAUUUCUUCUACCUGAUGACUUCCUGAUGUACCUGAUGGGCUACGGUAACAGUGAAGGCGUUCGUCGCAUCAUAUGGUGAGUCGCAUGCUUUUUGGUUCCUCCGGUCAUUCAACCAUGUCGUAGGAUGAAAGAUCCGAAUCGACACGAGUGACUGGUUGUAUACGUAGAAUUUUGCACGAGCACAAUGACCGCGGAUAUUUAUUUAUAAUAAUUAUCCGCGAGUAGUAACGAUUAUUUCUUUUGUGUUUUAUUUAUUAGUUCAGGCU